AACAGGAUUAGAUACCCUGGUAGUCCACGCCGUAAACGAUGCCGACUUGGAGGUUGUUCCCUUGAGGAGUGGCUUCCGGAGCUAACGCGUUAAGUCGACCGCCUGGGGAGUACGGCCGCAAGGUUAAAACUCAAAUGAAUUGACGGGGGCCCGCACAAGCGGUGGAGCAUGUGGUUUAAUUCGAUGCAACGCGAAGAACCUUACCUACUCUUGACAUCCAGCGAACUUAGCAGAGAUGCUUUGGUGCCUUCGGGAACGCUGAGACAGGUGCUGCAUGGCUGUCGUCAGCUCGUGUUGUGAAAUGUUGGGUUAAGUCCCGCAACGAGCGCAACCCUUAUCCUUUGUUGCCAGCGAUUCGGUCGGGAACUCAAAGGAGACUGCCGGUGAUAAACCGGAAGAAGGUGGGGAUGACGUCAAGUCAUCAUGGCCCUUACGAGUAGGGCUACACACGUGCUACAAUGGCGCAUACAAAGAGAAGCGACCUCGCGAGAGCAAGCGGACCUCACAAAGUGCGUCGUAGUCCGGAUCGGAGUCUGCAACUCGACUCCGUGAAGUCGGAAUCGCUAGUAAUCGUGGAUCAGAAUGCCACGGUGAAUACGUUCCCGGGCCUUGUACACACCGCCCGUCACACCAUGGGAGUGGGUUGCAAAAGAAGUAGGUAGCUUAACCUUCGGGAGGGCGCUUACCACUUUGUGAUUCAUGACUGGGGUGAAGUCGUAACAAGGUAACC
rnacentral:rRNA from 1 species